UACAGGGGGUGCAAGCGUUGCUCGGAAUCAUUGGGCGUAAAGCGCACGUAGGCGGUCUGUUAUGUCGGAUGUGAAAGCCCUUGGCUUAACCGAGGAAGUGCAUCCGAAACUGGCAGGCUAGAGUACUAAAGAGGGUCGCGGAAUUCCCGGUGUAGAGGUGAAAUUCGUAGAUAUCGGGAGGAACACCGGUGGCGAAGGCGGCGACCUGGGUAGAUACUGACGCUGAGGUGCGAAAGCGUGGGGAGCAAACAGG
rnacentral:rRNA from 1 species